CCUGUUGUGUCACCGGCGCGAGUUGCUAUAGAGCAUGGAGAUAAAUAUGGGAGUGAGAGCAGAGCCACAAAUAUUUGAGCGAUGGUAAUUAGCCUCAUCCAGUUGCCCACUUGAAAGCACCAUCCACGUGGCAUUACACAGUUAACUGCUUAUCUAGUCUAGCUCCUACGUACACUCCAUUCCAAGUUUCCUUGCCCAACAAAAACAUUAGCAGACUAAAGCCAAUACCCACUAGCAAGGGCCAAGCUUCAAGUAAAUUAACCAGCUGAACUAAACAUGGAGACUGGCAUAGCUUGCUGUGCUCGUGGGGCUUUGUUGCCUGGUGUUUCUUCUCAGCACUCUAAAGUUCUAGCUUCUCCUUCCUCCUUCACCUUCCGGGUAUGUCAAUUAGUUAAAGCCUGGUAAUCUUGUUUAAUUUUUCCUUCAUUCAAGGAAACAAAGAGUGACUUUCUGUACUACGAGGCAAAGGCUAUCAAAUUACUGAGCCAAUUACCUUGAACCCGUUUACUUUCAUGUCAAGCUUGCUAGAUGUAAAUGAUAAUCAUACAGUAUUAAACAAUAAGAAUUGCAUAUUUAAGAGAUAGAGAAGCUUGACGCAAUAUGAUGCUACAAUUUCAAUUUUGGAUGGAUAGGCAAAUUUAAGUUGAACUUGAAAAUGAAUGUCUAAAUACAUGGCAGAGUUUGAACUCUAGCUCACUGUUCGGAGAAUCAUUGCGGCUAAUACCAAGAUCAUCCCUCAAAGUUUCAAAGAUAAAGAAUACUUCCAUUGUGACCAGAUGCGAGAUUGGUGAUAGCUUGGAAGAGUUCCUGACAAAGGCAACCCCAGAUAAGGGACUUGUUAGGUUGUUGACGUGCAUGGGAGAGGCAUUGAGAACCAUCGCAUUCAAGGUCAGGACCGCUUCUUGUGGAGGAACAGCAUGUGUCAAUUCCUUUGGAGAUGAGCAGCUUGCUGUUGAUAUGAUUGCAAACAAGCUCCUUUUCGAGGUUAGACAAAAUUAUUUACACCUUUUUUUAUUUCUUGCUUAAUCUGUGUUUGACUAAUUGCUAAAUUGAGUUCUAAUGUAAAUUCCUUACUGAGAAAGCAUAAUAGGCCGUUUGAACUUCUUCAGUAAAGUAUGCUUUAUCCGCUGAAUCCAUGAGUGAAAUCUUUUCAUUUUGGAAACUCAUUUCUAUGGAAUUUUGUUCAAAGAAGUCUUUUCUGGGUUUCUGACUCAUUCUUAGCUCUUUAUAUACAAAAUUCUUUCCUGAUCAAUUUACAUGCAGAUUUUCCUGACAUUGCUAAGUUGCACCUAAAUGUGAAAUUUGGAGUUCAUGUAUUAAUCAGACAAGAGCAAUUUCUCCCUGAAUGCUCUUCUGCAAAGACUCCUUAAUUAUUUUCAGAAUCUGCAUUGGAAUGUGGAAGUAAUGUGUCUCAGGUUUGAUGUGUAGGCCUUGACUUACUCACACUUCUGCAAAUAUGGUUGCUCUGAAGAAGUUCCUGAACUGCAAGACAUGGGAGGCCCAGCUGA
rnacentral:misc_RNA from 1 species